UACGACUACAUAUCAGGCAUAUCAAUAAGCGGAGGAAAAGAAACUAACAAGGAUUCCCUUAGUAACGGCGAGUGAAGCGGGAAGAGCUCAAAUUUGAAAUCUUCAAGGUUCUACCUUGACGAAUUGUAGUUUAAAGAAGUGUUUUCUGUUAGAUGAGUAGCAAAAGUUCCUUGGAAUGGGACAUCAUAGAGGGUGAGAAUCCCGUAUUUGGUUAUUCAUUCUAGCUUUGUGAUACACUUUCAAAGAGUCGGAUUGUUUGGGAAUGCAGUCCAAAAUGGGUGGUAAAUUUCAUCUAAAGCUAAAUAUUGGCGAGAGACCGAUAGCGAACAAGUACCGUGAGGGAAAGAUGAAAAGAACUUUGAAAAGAGAGUUAAACAGUACGUGAAAUUGUCAAAAGGGAAGCGUUUGACACCAGUGUUGUUUAGUUGAAAAUCAAUUCAAUAGUUUUUGAUUCUAAGUAGUAUUGACUUCAUCAGCUUGCUGCUUUCUUCUCAGAAAUUAUUGAAUGCACUUUUCAGUUAACAAGUCAACAUCAAUUUCUUUUGUUGUAAAAGGGUAAGAGGAAGGUGGCUUGCGCUUCGGCUCAAGUGUUUAUAGCCUUUUAUCUCUGCAAUCGGAGAGAUUGAGGUCUGCAGCGUAGAUCCUUCGGGGUUAGAUACAUUGGUGCUAAGCUAUAGCCUUGUAUAGACAACUUGUUGACUAUGCUCAGUCAUGUAGCUUACUCGCUGAUGCUAUUUUACCUACGCUUAGGAUGUUGAGUAGCGACAUACGCAC
rnacentral:rRNA from 1 species